GACGAACCGUGCGAACGUUAUUCGGAAUCACUGGGCUUAAAGAGCGUGUAGGCGGUCCGGCACGUCGAUGGUUGAAAGCCCCCGGCUCAACCGGGGAAAGGGCCUCGAUACGACCGGACUGGAGGGAGGUAGGGGGAUCGGGAACUUCCGGUGGAGCGGUGAAAUGCGUUGAGAUCGGAAGGAACGCCCGUGGCGAAAGCGCGGUCCUGGACCUCACCUGACGUUGAGACGCGAAAGUUAGGGGAGCAAACGGG
rnacentral:rRNA from 1 species